CCCUACUCGUCGUCCUCCACUUGUAAGCAUGGCAUGGGGUUGCCCCCCACAAGUUGGUCCUUGAUGCAUUGCAUCCAGCCCCCCUUCCCCUCUCUUGUGUUCUUCCUCCACCUCCCAUGAUUUGAAGCCAAGCCAAACCCCACCCCACUCAUAAAAUCGGCUCCACCUUCCCUGUCACCAUGCUAAUCUUUCCUCCUCCUCAUCACCGCAACAUCACCGAAAGGGUCGAGGAUAUCUUCUGCUUCGCCAUCAGGGGAGGAUCCACCUCUUCGUCCUCUUCUUCUUCUUCUUCCUCCUCCUGCGACGACAUCUUUGCGACCCUGCCGCUUGGAGUUCUUGGGCUGUGCAGUUCUUGAUUUGCUUCUUGGUUGGGGGUGUUGUGGGUUUUGAGGGAGGAGAGGAGUUCUUGGCUUGUUGGGUGGAGCGAGAAAGGGCGUUCUUGGGAGAGACGCGAAGUCCGGACAUGGGAGCAAUGCCAAGUUCAGGAUCGAAGAUGUUGUCACUUUGCCUGCAGUUCAGAUGAUGGGCAAGUCUGCAACAGAGACUUCAGAUCUGAUCAGAAAUCACAAGAACUCUCAUACACAUCUCAGUUCUUGGAUUGCCAACUGAUCUAGACAAAAUCACAGAUCAAAACAUCUAGCCGAAUUUGGGGUUUGUUGCAAUGGAAGGUGUAGGUGCUAGGCAGAGGAGGAACCCUCUGAUACCCAGACCAAACGGUUCAAAGAGGCAUCUGCAGCAUCAGCAUCAGCCAAAUGCUGCCGAGAAGAAGACCGCCGCGACAUCGAAUUACUUCAGUAUCGAGGCGUUCCUCGUGCUCGUCUUCCUCACCAUGUCAUUGCUCAUACUUCCAUUGGUGCUUCCCCCAUUGCCUCCGCCGCCAUCGCUGCUGCUGCUGCUGCCAGUCUGCCUGCUCAUCCUGCUGGUUGUGCUGGCCUUCAUGCCAACGGAUGUGCGGAGCAUGGCUUCCUCUUACUUGUAAAUACAUCUCCUAGGGGAAUUUAUUUUUGUUUUUGUUAUUUUGGUUUUGGUUUUGUAUUCGACAUAAGAUGAGCGCGACGAAGCAAGCUGUAAAACAUCACUUUCCAGACAGAUUUUGAAUGCUGAAGUUUAGAGGUUACAUAUGUUA